UACAGAGGGGGCAAGCGUGGUUCGGAAUUACUGGGCGUAAAGGGCGCGUAGGUGGCCUUCUAAGUUGAACGUGAAAUCCCUGGGCUCAACCCAGGAACUGCGUCCAAGACUGGGAGGCUUGAAUCCGGGAGAGGGAUGCGGAAUUCCAGGUGUAGCGGUGAAAUGCGUAGAUAUCUGGAGGAACACCGGUGGCGAAGGCGGCAUCCUGGACCGGUAUUGACACUGAGGCGCGAAAGCCAGGGGAGCAAACGGG
rnacentral:rRNA from 1 species